AGCGAACGCUGGCGGUAGGCCUAACACAUGCAAGUCGAACGGCAGCACAGUAAGAGCUUGCUCUUACGGGUGGCGAGUGGCGGACGGGUGAGGAAUGCAUCGGAAUCUACUUUUUCGUGGGGGAUAACGUAGGGAAACUUACGCUAAUACCGCAUACGACCUACGGGUGAAAGCAGGGGAUCUUCGGACCUUGCGCGAUUGAAUGAGCCGAUGUCGGAUUAGCUAGUUGGCGGGGUAAAGGCCCACCAAGGCGACGAUCCGUAGCUGGUCUGAGAGGAUGAUCAGCCACACUGGAACUGAGACACGGUCCAGACUCCUACGGGAGGCAGCAGUGGGGAAUAUUGGACAAUGGGCGCAAGCCUGAUCCAGCCAUACCGCGUGGGUGAAGAAGGCCUUCGGGUUGUAAAGCCCUUUUGUUGGGAAAGAAAUCCAGCCGGCUAAUACCUGGUUGGGAUGACGGUACCCAAAGAAUAAGCACCGGCUAACUUCGUG
rnacentral:rRNA from 1 species